CUAGCUUCCUACACCAGGGCUAGAUUCACAGAAAAAUGUGCUGUUACAAGACGUGCCUUGCAAGGACAUUGCUCUACCUCAUGCAAUCCCUCUGUAGAGCUAUGGGGUGAGACUACCAUGCACACCAGCAGAGGACAGCCUUCUUACCGUCUGAAAAAUGGAAAUGGUUUUGAGGAACGUGGAGAAUGCAGCCAGCGUCACCUGACACAGCUUCACUACCCUCCAGCUGUAUUUUAAGAAACAGGAAUUACUUUUGAGACAUCCUUUUCAUUUGUAGGAAUCAGCAAAUGCUUCCCAGUGAUGAAUUCUGACCGGAGAGAGGUACCUGCUCCAGCUGUGACCCAACCUCUCCUUGUGUGGCUGGAGGAACAGCCAGACAAAGCCCAUGCCCAGGCACUUGGAAACUGAGAUCCGGGUCCCUCCUCUGCUUUAGGUCUGAGGGAGUCAGAGGUCAAAUCCACCUUCUCCAUCUCCUACAUAAAUCCUUCCUGCUGUUUUCGGAGCUGUGCUACUAUGCAGUGCUGCCAGUUCAUUUCUCUGCAGGACUCAUAGCCCAACGGUUAAGUAACCUUCUCAGAGAUGCGAGAUGUGGAUUUGAGUCUUCGCUGCAUUCAGGAGGGAGAUGGAACUAUGUCCCAGGUCCUGGUUCCAGUUCCUCAUAUUGCAGACAUGUUACUUCAGUCUGAUCUGGAGCAGAGUGGUUUCUUCAUGAUGAUGGGGGAUACAGCUGAGAAGCAGUUCAUGCUGGAGUCCACAUUAUAUCGAAUGGACACAGGCCUUCCUAUACUCCCAUCCCUGCGAACCAGUGACCUUCACUCUUCAGUGUGGGUAAGGAAGGCAGAUAAACCAUGUCCGCUCAACUUUACAAAAAAGCUGUCCUUGGUUUGGAAGGUUCCUGGAUCAAACACCAACUUCUCCAUGACUUGGCCAUUUUUAUUUUCCUCCCCUGCCCAAGGGAGAAGAAAAUCCCAAGCACUGUCAUCAUCAGCUGGCUUGCGUCCAAUAAUCCCAAAUUAAUUUAAGCGGCCAAGAACUGGGCGUUAACUUCUCUCGUAUGUCAGGAGAGUAGGUAAUAAAAUAAAAACCAAUCAGUCAAACCGUAGCAGCUCUUCACUCUGCAACAGUGGGAGGAGAGGGUGAGAUCACCAGUUCUGCAAAGCUGAAGUGACCAGCUGACUUCUUUGUCUGCUAGCCUGCACGCUCUCCACUAGCAAAAGAAGAGAGGAGACAUUUCUCCCUGCUAUUUUGUGAACAAGGAGCUUUCACACACAGCCCCUCUGCACAAUGAGGCUAAGUGACCCAGUGACAGUCCUCCUGAAGACAGUUCAUGCUUCCAAAAUUUUAUUUCUUAUUACAUCCCACCUGUGGAAAGAAACAGCUUAGUUAAUGAGAAGAGUGAUGCAUAGCUUUAAUUCUCACGGUUAUGAAUAUGAGCAAGGCCCCUGAGAACACUGGAAGUAAUUACAUUAUAUUCCCUUCUGUUUUAGCUACUGGGGCUGGCUUUGUUCACCGCAGAUGUUACAAGAAUUUCUUGCCAUCUUUAAGACUGGCACUUGCCCUUUUUGGCUUGGAAUUUUUUAGGACGUGUAAUUUCAAUCCUGAGAAAUGGAUGCAGACAUUUAUUACUGAGCUACCUUCUAUGAAAGAAACAAUCCCACCUCCUGAAGUCAAAUUUUCCAUUUUUUCUGUUACUCUAUUAAAGUACCACGUGUUCAUGCUGCAUUGUAAUGGACUACUUUGAGUUUGACUACUUUAUUCAAGACCAAAAAGCACCCUGUUCAAAUUUAUAUAUAGUGAGCAUGCCUAUAAUGCGAGUUUAGUCUUCUUUAGAGCCAUAGAAGACACAGGGCAGUAGGUUAACACAAAACACUAUGAACCGAAAGCAUUUUAAGAUACAAGUCACACACUUCUGUAUAUUGUGCAUGGGAAGACCAGAUUUCAUUUUUCACGUGCCAAAUAGGCUUCUAUUUAAAACAUAGCUAUAAGAAGAUGUGUUAUCAGUCAAUGUUUUUAGAUUGUUGUUUUAUACAAUAAAAGACAAGUUGUGCCUACCUGUAAAUGAAAGUCUGUUGUGAUUUCCUUAGUACUUUGAGGAAACCCCAGUCAAUAAGAGUUCUUCAAUAUUUCCCUUCAUUCCAGCUGGAGAUGAAAAUAUUUUUAAUUAUCUCCAGCUAGAAACUGCAGAGGGGGGCUUAAUACACUGUAGUUAUUCUGAAUUAAGAUUAAAAUGCUGCUUGAUAGCUGCUGGCUUUUUUUAGUAGCAAUUAUUCUGAGUGCAUGAUAAUACUUGUUAGCAACUGCGUGUGCUUCAAGGUCUCCACUCCUUGAUAUGUUCUUGAACU